AUACGGAGGGUGCAAACGUUGCUCGGAAUUAUUGGGCGUAAAGCGCGCGUAGGCGGUUGCCUAAGUCGAGUGUGAAAGCCCUGGGCUUAACCCAGGAAGUGCGCUCGAUACUGGACAACUAGAGUACGGGAGAGGGUAGCGGAAUUCCCGGUGUAGAGGUGAAAUUCGUAGAUAUCGGGAGGAACACCAGUGGCGAAGGCGGCUACCUGGACCGAUACUGACGCUGAGGUGCGAAAGCGUGGGUAGCAAACAGGAUUAGAAACCCCAGUAGUCC
rnacentral:rRNA from 1 species